AUAAAAAGCGUCACUUUACAUGUGCUAAACUGGGAACGAUGCAGACAAGAUUAGCAUGGCAUCUGGCAAAAGGAUUACAUUCACAAUGGUGAAGCAUCACUUUUCAUU
ensembl:snRNA U6 U6 spliceosomal RNA